AAAGCACAAUCGCUUGAAAUUCUGGAUAUCACUCGAAUAAACUCGCUUUUCGGAUAGUUCUAUCACGCUUUAUGAUGGACGGCAAGCAAGAAAAAAAAUCUCAGCCGGCGAAACAACAAUCACUCGGAAAUCAGUGAAAAAAAGGGAUGCUCCCACAGCAGUUAGCGUCGGAAGAAAACCUCGACAUUCGGCGUUUGGCGAAUUGGCCUUGACCUUCGUUAGCCACGUUUGAGUCCAGCAGUUCGAGCCUUUAAAUAGCUCCAGAAAUAGCAUCGAGGCAUAAUUCUAGGAGAAUCGAUGGUUACGGUUAUAUUCAUUUAUUGUAUCGAAUCAUGAAAUGCCCUGCGGCAACUCGGGCUUUCUACAUCGCUUAGGCUCUUCAACUUGGAUUUUAUUUCUAAGAUCGAACUGGAUAGUGCCAAUAGUCGUGUGAUUUGAACUGACGGUACUUAUAACCAAUCUCAACCAAUUAAGAUGGGCUCUUUGGAGGGAAAAAUCUCUCAUCAUUUUUCAUCGGAAGGAAAGUAAUGCAUUUCCUAUGGAGCGGUGGUGGUGCAGUUACUUUGUAGCGAAAACGGUGUAUGGUAAUCUCGUGAAUACGUUAAUAUUCUAUACUACUGCCGACUUCCGAGUUCACUGUGGCUGAAAAAAAGCGUUCUACCAAUUCCAUCAUUCUUUAUACUCCUUAGUUUCAGUGAUGACAAUUCUUGAAUGCCCAAACCGUCGAAUAGACUGCGGAUAAACGAUUACUCGAGCAAAAACUCAGAAUAAAUCGAUACCAUGUACAUUCAACAACCUUUAGAGCAUUCAAACAUUGUAAUAAUAAUGUAGCUCAUUAAAGUA